rnacentral:rRNA from 1 species
AUGGCCUUCCUCCACCCCUGGCCUGCUACCCACAUCCUCGACCCGCCACCAGGGAGGAGUCCCGCUCGGUCCCCCUCGUCCUCCUCCUCUGUGCCGAGCCACCUCCAUGGCCGCCGAGCCACCACCUUACGCCGCCCGUUCGUCGCACCACUGCUGCGUCCUGCUUCUCCCGACGCCGCUACGCGCCAAGUCUCAACCGGAGCACCGUGCUUCUGCCGUCGCCGCACCAAGCUCCCUGCUCCUGCCGACGGAGCCCUGCACCAGGCUCGACCCCGAGCAGCACCGCUCUGCUUCUCCACUAGAGCUCUUCUCCCGUGCGCCGUCGCCGUCCAAGUCCAGCAAGCCACCGCACCGCUGCCUCGCUGCAGCUGCUCCUUCGCUGUUCUGUUCUGCUGCCUCCCGCGUUCGGUCGCCGCCGGUGCCCAUGACCAGCGUUGUGCCUCUGCUCGUGAUUGCCGCUGCCAGUGUGCGCACCCUGCUGCUACUUUGUCGGCCGCCUCCCUUCGUUGA